rnacentral:rRNA from 1 species
UCGAGAAUAUUCGACAAUGGGCGAAAGCCUGAUCGAGCGACGCCGCGUGCAGGAUGAAGGCCCUCGGGUUGUAAACUGCGGUAGUAGGGGAGGAACGCAAGUGACUGUACCCUACGGAAAGUGGUUGGUAACUACGUGCCAGCACCAGCGGUAAUACGUAGACCACAAGCGUUAUCCGGAUUUAUUGGGCGUAAAGAGCAUGUAGGAGGUCCGGUGCGUCUCUGGUUAAAGCCCACCGCCUAACGGUGGAAGUGCCAGAGAUACGAUCGGACUGGAGGAUGUGAGAGGUGCAUGGAACUCACGGUGUAGGGGUGAAAUCCGUUGAUAUCGUGGGGAACACCAAAGGCGAAGGCAGUGCACUGGUACAUUCCUGACUCUGAGAUGCGAAAGCGUGGGGAGCAAAAAGGAUUAGAUACCCAAGUAGUCCCUGAGCGGGCUGGCAAGGCGCAU